AUGCUCUCCUCUGCCUCUUCCAAGGUGCUGGUUAAUGGUAACCUCACGGAAGCGAUUAUCCAUCAGCAGGGUCUCCGGCAAGACGAUCUUUUGUCGCUGUUGCUGUUCUUCAUCGCCAUGGAUUGUCUUGCUGCUCUUGUCACUGCUGCGGUCAAUGCCUCGGUUCUGAAGCCCAUCGGCAAUCAGCCAAUGCCGUAUCACACAUCUCUCUAUGCGGAUGAUGCUGUCAUAUUCAUUAAUCCUAGGGUGGAUGAGAUGUCUUCGUUGAAGAAUUUGCUGCGUCUCUUUGGGGAAGCUACUGGCCUGCAUACCAAUUUCAACAAGAGCUCCUUCAUGCCCAUUCGAUGCGAGGGACUGGAUUUGACGUUGAUCUUGGGGGAGGCACUGGGAGUUUGCAAGAGCUUCCCUUGCAAGUAUCUGGGAAUGCCUCUUUCCGACUCCCAGCUGAAAAAAAAUGGAUUUUCAAGAAUAUUUGGACAAGAUCUUGAGCAAGGUUAA
rnacentral:rRNA from 1 species